rnacentral:rRNA from 1 species
UACGUAGGCAGCAAGCGUUGUUCGGAGUUACUGGGCGUAAAGGGUGCGUAGGCGGUCCUAUAAGUAUGGUGUGAAAUCUCCCGGCUUAACUGGGAGGGUGCGCUAUAGACUGUGGGACUAGAGUGUGGGAGAGGAAAGUGGAAUUCCUGGUGUAGCGGUGAAAUGCGUAGAUAUCAUGAGGAAGACCAGUGGCGAAGGCGGGGUCUCUGGACAGUUCCUGACACUGAGGCACGAAGGCCAGGGGAGCAAACGGG